ensembl:snoRNA
AUUCUUUUGUAGUUGAUAGGCGUGAUGAUUGGGUUUUCAUGCUCAUAUAUGACCUGUGCCUAUGAUGUUGGCACAUUACCUAGCUGAUA